UUAAAACGUGAUGGAUAUAUCAAGAAACCUUGUGAACUGGUCUUAUUGUUUCAAAUGUGGACAUUCUAUAUAACGAUUCUAUAUUUUUUAGUUUCAUAUAAGGGGCCUAAUGAGAUUCUUUCUCUCACAAGCAUGCGCAGGUAAUAUAGUUCCCAUUUACAACUGAACUGUCUAGUUUCCUAUGUUUACUGGUGGCCACUAGAUGGUAGUAGCCUCGAGGAAUCCAAGUUAUUUAAAUAAUACGAAUUUAAACGGUUUCCUUGUGGUUCAUCUGCCUCUUCUGGUAUCAGUCGUGCCCUAAAAACAAUGCUGAGAGCGUGGACUUAAGCUCUUACACGGAUACAGAAAGAAGAUUUGUUAUUCCUUCUUAUCGGCUAUAUAAUGGACUGGCUGAUUCCCUUCACUUCUCCAUAACCCUGGAAAAAAGCAUCUGUCAAAUAAGUGUGUUAAGGUUCCACUGGAGAAGGACAACUGCACUACAAGGAACAUGAAGUAGGCUACUUCAAGGCCCACAGUGAACCAUGGGGAAGCACCUUGGACAAUCCGCAGUGGAAGGAGAAACGUGUCUUUGGUAAAUCGCCUGCUUUAAUUUGAUCUAUGCCGCCACCUAGCGAUUAAAAUGGCCAAGUCAUUGUCGCAUGUAUGAGAUAUAAUUGAACAUUACAAUACCUUUCAGGUACUUUGACUCUAAUAUUCCGAUGUUCAUCCGAAUACUGAAGUGUUCCGAUAACUUAUUCCGAUAACAAAAAUCCAAAAAAGGCCAGCAUAUGGUAUCCUAUAUUCUCAACGGAAUACUGAGCAAACACAGCAUUCAGAAUAUGCCUCUCCCACUGAUUAAAAAAUAUUGAAUAACUUUAAAUCUUUAAAUAAACAUCGCAUUGUCCCUCCCUCCAACCCAGAAAAACUUCCGUUUGUAAGGUCUACUUUACAAAGAAUCUUGGGUAAUAUAGUGCUCCCAGCUCAAACGUGUUCGCAUUUCUGGCAGCAACAGGCUUUACAAUAAUGGCGAUGUUUUACACUGGUUGCUUUCUGGAGUGUCCAAAGAGAAGCGUCAACGAAUUUAGUAGUAAUUGCAAAUUGAGGUACAGAGAAACAUUCAGCAUGUUGGAGAAAGGAUUUAACAAUAAUGCGUCGUAAUUAAAUGAAUAAGAAGGAACACUGAUUUCAAAUGGUGCUAGACACUGGAACACACAUCUAAACCACCACAGGAAACCAGAUUCCAGGGGAAGACCAGCCAGGAUGCAGGACUUGUGCUGACAAAUGAGAGGUGUAUGAAAACGAAGGGUAUAAAAGGACACGAGUGGGAAAUGUGGGAAGACAAGCGCUGCGUCUGCCAAGAUGGAAUAACUUUGGCUAACCUUGGCUAUGAAAUAAUAUAUGGCUUUGCAAAGAGGAAGUGACUCUUACCAGAGGAAUAUCAUUACUGUGGCAGCGGAGUAGCUCGGAGGUGAACUGCGGAAUGACAUAAUGGUCCCCGCCCUCAGCGAGUCUGGGCUCUUUGCAAUAAUGUGAAGAAAUACUAUGUACUAUAAAUCUGCAGCACACACACACACGUUACAAGUUCACUGGUAGAACGGCGCCCAUAGCUAAUACAUAAGCUUCACAGGAGUUGCACUACACAAAGGUUUAUUGUUAUUUCUCCAUCUUAGAAAAAGGUUAUUGUUGUAUUUUCGACUGUUAACGUUUAGAAGCACUUUACAGUGGCCGGAAGAAAAUCGCUGUUAUUUCUCUGCCUUGGAUAACAGACCUUGAAUUUCAUAAGAUGUCAACGGAGAAGUGAGUUACAUUGUAAAAUAAUAGUUUUCAAUUACAAGCAGUCCAGAGCACAAAGACACACAGAAUAACCAGAAAUAAAUAUACUGACACACCCUGCUGUGUACCCCACCCUCCGACACACUCACCCUGACGUGGGACCAGGAGGGCCACCGUGCCUGCUGACCUCACUGCUCGGAACCCUGGGAAAAAAGCAGAGAUUCGGUAAGCGAGUGAGCUCACACGCUAGCUAUCGGUAGCUGUGCCACAUGUUAACAAACCAGCUGCUCUGGUGGAUCUCUAUGGACAUUAAACUCACGGUGUUGGCCAUGUGACAGAACAACCCCCCCCCCCCCCCCUUCCGCUGAGAUGCUGCCAGUGAUGUCAUCAUUACCCUCAGAUCUACGGAGCCAUUCUACCUUCUAGGAGGUGAAAAGCACAUUUUUAUAAUGUGAAUGCAAAAGGAGCAGUCACAGCCAUGUUAAAGGAAUGAAGUCGGAUCAAAAUUUGUCGUCUCAAUGAAACUGCAGCAGGAACUAGGAAACAUUCCGUCCAAUCCACAGUCCAGAUAAGAGGGGCGUGGUUCCACCCACCACCUAUGAACUCUGACGUCUACUAUUCAAUAUAAUAUUCAUGCUCAGGAAUGCAUUGAGGCCAAGCCAAGGUUUAACGUGAUAAAAUAAGUCUUUGUUAUAAGAGGAGGAAAUCAAGCCGCUCAGAUACGUAAGCCCUGACGAAGUUCACAUAACAAAGCUUUCAGGCUGUCAGUGGAGCUGGAUUUCCCCGGGAGGGGGAGGGUCUGGGAGGGGGUGCGUGUGGCACGCCUCCAUCCCUAUGCCCCGCAGGGACGUGCCCGCUUCCCAUCGAUGCUGAGAACACGUGCUUAGCGGGUAACGCAACAUCCUGCCGCUGAAAUGUCAAAGCGGUCUCACAUGAAGGUUAGUGGACAAAAGAAAGGUCACAAUGAGACAAACUACGUCAGUCUCAAAACGCUGAAAAUUUCACACAAGCUCUGAGGACAUAUUCUCCAAUCAGACAGAAAGAGCACAAUUUAUGGCCUUUGCAAUUUUAAAAAUAAACAACAGAGGGCGCUGUCACGCUACAUUACAGCUCAUUGCACACGGGCAAUAGGAGUGGGUAUGAUAAUAAUACAUUGCAGAACCUGACCCUGCAGGUUGACUGACGGGUUAAAACACAGCUUUCGUUUCCCUUUCACCGAAGACGAUCUAAAUGAACACUGUGGUGCUGAAUAGCUUGAGUACUCUGAUUUUCUUGUCUUUCUCGGAAAUCAAUCCACAGGACAGAACUCAGACGUGGUGAU